GACAGAGGGUGCAAACGUUGUUCGGAAUUACUGGGCGUAAAGCGAGUGUAGGCGGUCUGCUAAGUCGGGUGUGAAAGCCCUGGGCUCAACCCAGGAAGUGCACUCGAAACUGGCGGGCUAGAGUAUCGGAGAGGUUGGUGGAAUUCUCGGUGUAGCGGUGAAAUGCGUAGAUAUCAGGAGGAACACCGGUGGUGUAGACGGCUUACUGGACCAUAACUGACGCUGAGACACGAAAGCGUGGGUAGCAAACAGG
rnacentral:rRNA from 1 species